AAUAAUAAAGAAAGUUAAUUUUCGCUCUUAGAAGUUUGUAUCUCGUGUAUGGUAGUAGUUAGGAUUUAAAGCCUAACUAGCUAUAUGCACGUAGUCGUAACUGAAAGGUUGAUCGACCACAGUGGGCCUGAAUAAAGCCCAUGACGAUUGUCACAGCAGUGAGGAAUAUUGGUCAAUAGCCUAACGGCUGAACCAGCAACUUGGAGGAAUGUGAUGCAAGAUCGACUAUGUCGAAUAAAAUUCUAGGUAGAAUUAUGAUAAUGACAUUGUCUGCCUAGGUGUCUUGACCAAAUUACGUGCCAGCAGUCGCGGUAAUACGUAGAAGACUAGUGUUAUUCAUGUUUAAUCGGUUUAAAGGGUACCUAGACGGUAAAUCAAGCCUAAAAGGAAAGAAAUGAAGGGACUAAUUUACUAGAGUUACUUAUGAGGGGGUAUUAAAGUACUGCUGGUGUAGAGAUGAAAUUCUGUCAUACCUCUUUUCAAUAAUGUCAUAGAUUAGAUAUAUAAGUUUAUUCUAUAAAUGAAAGUGUAAGCAUUCCACCUCAAGAGUAAUUUGGCAACAUUGGAACUGAAAUCAUUAGACCGUUUCUGAAACCAGUAGUGAAGUAUGUUGUUUAAUUUGAUGAACUUUAUUCUAAUUUUCUACUUAAAAGAAAACAAUAACAAGAAAAAAGAGACAAGAAGAUAUAUUUACAAGCGUUGCACGGCUGUCUUCAGUUAAUGUCGCGAGACUAUGGUUAGUUCCAUUAAAUUAACGUAAACCCUUACUUUAUUUUUAUAUAGAGUAGUUCCCCGCUAUAUUGGAUAU
rnacentral:rRNA from 1 species